GGAUGUAGCUCAGUGGUAGAGUGCUUGCCUACCAUGUAUGAGGCUCUGUGUUCAAUUCUCAGUACCA
rnacentral:tRNA from 1 species